UUUUUUAAGGAAAAAAGGGGAGAGAGAUGAACAAAAACCUUUCAGGCAGUGUGCCAAGCCCUUUGCUUACUCAACUUCAUUCAGUCACCCCAGGGACAGGUGGGGGCCUGGAGCUUGAACCCAUAUCCUUGUGUAUUGUGGCAAGUGCAUUUAACCAGCCACCAAGUUGUAGAUGACACCAUGAUACCAACCUGACCCUGGGCAGACAACUGCACUGAUGGUGUCCUGAAACCCCACCUCUCUAGAACCCUGCCCCACUAGGG